rnacentral:rRNA from 1 species
CGCUUCUUUUUCCACCGGAGCUUGCUCCACCGGAAAAAGAGGAGUGGCGAACGGGUGAGUAACACGUGGGUAACCUGCCCAUCAGAAGGGGAUAACACUUGGAAACAGGUGCUAAUACCGUAUAACAAUCGAAACCGCAUGGUUUUGAUUUGAAAGGCGCUUUCGGGUGUCGCUGAUGGAUGGACCCGCGGUGCAUUAGCUAGUUGGUGAGGUAACGGCUCACCAAGGCGACGAUGCAUAGCCGACCUGAGAGGGUGAUCGGCCACAUUGGGACUGAGACACGGCCCAAACUCCUACGGGAGGCAGCAGUAGGGAAUCUUCGGCAAUGGACGAAAGUCUGACCGAGCAACGCCGCGUGAGUGAAGAAGGUUUUCGGAUCGUAAAACUCUGUUGUUAGAGAAGAACAAGGAUGAGAGUAACUGUUCAUCCCUUGACGGUAUCUAACCAGAAAGCCACGGCUAACUACGUGCCAGCAGCCGCGGUAAUACGUAGGUGGCAAGCGUUGUCCGGAUUUAUUGGGCGUAAAGCGAGCGCAGGCGGUUUCUUAAGUCUGAUGUGAAAGCCCCCGGCUCAACCGGGGAGGGUCAUUGGAAACUGGGAGACUUGAGUGCAGAAGAGGAGAGUGGAAUUCCAUGUGUAGCGGUGAAAUGCGUAGAUAUAUGGAGGAACACCAGUGGCGAAGGCGGCUCUCUGGUCUGUAACUGACGCUGAGGCUCGAAAGCGUGGGGAGCAAACAGGAUUAGAUACCCUGGUAGUCCACGCCGUAAACGAUGAGUGCUAAGUGUUGGAGGGUUUCCGCCCUUCAGUGCUGCAGCUAACGCAUUAAGCACUCCGCCUGGGGAGUACGACCG